rnacentral:rRNA from 1 species
CCUACGGGAGGCAGCAGUGAGGAAUAUUGGUCAAUGGACGAGAGUCUGAACCAGCCAAGUAGCGUGAAGGAUGACUGCCCUAUGGGUUGUAAACUUCUUUUAUAAAGGAAUAAAACGAGGCACGUGUGCCUCUUUGCAUGUACUUUAUGAAUAAGGAUCGGCUAACUCCGUGCCAGCAGCCGCGGUAAUACGGGGGAUCCGCGCGUUAUCCGGAUUUAUUGGGUUUAAAGGGAGCGUAGAUGGGUUGUUAAGUCAGUUGUGAAAGUUUGCGGCUCAACCGUAAAAUUGCAAUUGAUACUGGCAGACUUGAGUACAGUAGAGGUAAGCGGAAUUCGUGGUGUAGCGGUGAAAUGCUUAGAUAUCACGAAGAACCCCGAUUGCGAAGGCAGCUUACUAAACUGUGACUGACAUUGAUGCUCGAAAGUGUGGGUAUCAAACAGGAUUAGAUACCCUGGUAGUC